GGCCCCUUCGUCUAGCGGUUAGGACAGUGGCCUCUCACGCCAUAAACACGGGUUCGAUUCCCGUAGGGGUCA
rnacentral:tRNA from 1 species